UCACAUGUACAGGAAAUGGAGUGUUCAGUGCUACAGCAGUGACAGAAAUAAUUCUAAAGCACAGGUGACCUGAAACAUUAAAUAGUGGGCAGAUGCAGGCAAAUUGCCUCAGUAAGCACUGUGAUUGUCUAUGAUCCUUUCCACCUGCUAAUGAAUAUGCAUGUGGAAAAUCAGAAACUCAUUUUUUUUUUAACUAUGUUGAGCUUGCUUUCAUAAUGAAUAAAUCAGGAUGAUAAAAUGUGAAGUCACCCAUAUUUAAGAUUUAACAAAAAAAGGACAGUUAGAAUCUGCCCAGGAAUAAAUAUAGGCUGAGAAUCAGAAUGUUCCUGAAUGUCAGAGCAAUGAGAUCUACAAUAUCCAGUAAUCAUUAAGGUCUGGGGAAGGAGAAAAGGUAGUUCUGAGUCCCACAGGCUACUUUGGCAGAUUGUAGAAGAACUGUAUGUAAUUAGCACCAAAAAGAAAUUAAUCUGAGAAGACAAAAGCUAUCAUCAAAAGAUAACAUGGAUACUGAUUUUCUGUGCGUGGCAGGAGUUGGAACAGAUGCAGUGAAGCAGAAGCUAGAAGAAUCUGUUUGCUCUGAUUGCUGGCCAGAGGGCAACGUGGGGUACAUGGGAAAGCUGAGGGCAAAGGAACAGCUCUUUCAGACUGAUCAAAGUCUGCAACCAUAGAAGUUUUUCUUCCUGCUUGUUUGUUUGUUUCCUUUUUUCUAAAGAGCAGAACCUAGCAACUUGUUUUCAAACUUACAGGUGUUUACAGUAGACCAGUGAGAGAUUAGGUUUAUUUUAAACACAUGCAUAUUUUGUAGGUAGAAUAAAACUGUGCAUGUGCAAAUAAAAUAAAUGAUGUCAUAACAAGGUGCAUAAUUUACAUGCAGGCAUAAAGAAUGAAACUCUAUUAAGUAUUGUAUUAAACAGCCUAAUGGAAGUUUGCAUGUAUAAUUACUUUAAUUUACAUUUUUAUAAUCACUCAUUCUUUAGAAUGGUUCAGAUCCUGGUUUCUAUCUCAGCAUCCCAAAGUGCUUUGCAAACAUUUUGUGAAUUAAAGCCUGUAACAACACUGUAAGGUAGAAAAGCUGAAAGAAAAGGAACAAUUUUGCAAG